rnacentral:rRNA from 1 species
UCAAAGAMUAAGCCAUGCAUGUCUAAGUAUAAAUGUUAUACAGUGAAACUGCGAAUGGCUCAUUAAAACAGUUAUAGUUUAUUUGAUAAUCGAAUUUACAUGGAUAACCGUGGUAAUUCUAGAGCUAAUACAUGCUGGUUAGCCUGACUUCGAGGAAGGGCUGUAUUUAUUAGAUAACAAACCAAUAUUCCCUGUGUCUAUUGUGAUGACUCAUAAUAACUGAUCGAAUCGCAUGGACUUUGUCCGCGAUACAUCAUUCAAGUUUCUGCCCCAUCAGCUUUCGAUGGUAGUGUAUUGGACUACCAUGGCUUUAACGGGUAACGGAGGAUUAGGGUUCGAUUCCGGAGAGGGAGCCUGAGAAACGGCUACCACAUCUAAGGAAGGCAGCAGGCGCGUAAAUUACCCAAUCCUGACUCAGGGAGGUAGUGACAAGAAAUAACGGACCGAGGCUCAUGCUUCGGGAUUGCAAUGAGUAAAAUUUAAACCCCUUUACAAGGAUCAAUUGGA